rnacentral:rRNA from 1 species
UACGUAGGGUCCAAGCGUUGUUCGGAUUUACUGGGCGUAAAGGGCGCGUAGGCGGCUCGGUAAGUCACUUGUGAAAUCUCUGAGCUUAACUCAGAACGGCCAAGUGAUACUGCAGUGCUAGAGUGUGGAAGGGGCAAUCGGAAUUCUUGGUGUAGCGGUGAAAUGCGUAGAUAUCAAGAGGAACACCUGAGGUGAAGACGGGUUGCUGGGCCAACACUGACGCUGAGGCGCGAAAGCCAGGGGAGCAAACGGG